rnacentral:rRNA from 1 species
AUUGAACGCUGGCGGCGUGCUUAACACAUGCAAGUCGAACGAAGUGGCGAACGGGUGAGUAACGCGUAAUCAACCUGCCCUUCAGAGGGGGACAACAGUUGGAAACGACUGCUAAUACCGCAUACUGAAGGAGGGGAUUGCGUGGUGUUCGCUAGUGGGAGGGGUAACGGCCCACCAAGGCGAUGAUCAGUAGCCGGGCUGGGAGGGUGAACGGCCAAAUUGGGGCUGAGACACGGCCCAGACUCCUACGGGGAGCAGCAGUGGGGAAUCUUCCGCAAUGGACGAAAGUCUGACGGAGCAACGCCGCGUGGGUGGUAACGGCCUUCGGGUUGUAAAGCUCUGUUAAUCGGGGCGCGGUACCGGAAUAGAAAGCCACGGCUAACUACGUGCCAGCAGCCGCGGUAAUUC